rnacentral:rRNA from 1 species
GAUGAACGCUGGCGGCGUGCCUAAUACAUGCAAGUCGAGCGAACGGACGAGAAGCUUGCUUUUCUGAUGUUAGCGGCGGACGGGUGAGUAACACGUGGAUAACCUACCUAUAAGACUGGGAUAACGUCGGGAAACCGGAGCUAAUACCUGAUAAUAUUGUGAACCGCAUGGUUCAAAAGUGAAAGACGGUCUUGCUGUCACUUAUAGAUGGAUCCGCGCUUCAUUAGCUAGUUGGUAAGGUAACGGCUUACCAAGGCAACGAUGAAUAGCCGACCUGAGAGGGUGAUCAGCCACACUGGAACUGAGACACGGUCCAGACUCCUACGGGAGGCAGCAGUAGGGAAUCUUCCGCAAUGGGCGAAAGCCUGACGGAGCAACGCCGCGUGAGUGAUGAAGGUCUUCGGAUCGUAAAACUCUGUUAUUCGGGAAGAACAUAUGUGUAAGUAACUGUGCACAUCUUGACGGUACCUAAUCAGAAAGCCACGGCUAACUACGUG